rnacentral:rRNA from 1 species
CCCUUAGAUGUUCUGGGCCGCACGCGCGCUACACUGAUGCAUGCAACGAGUUCUAUCCUUGGCCGGAAGGCCUGGGUAAUCUGUGAACGUGCAUCGUGAUAGGGAUAGAUUAUUGCAAUUAUUGAUCUUGAACGAGGAAUUCCUAGUAAACGCAAGUCAUCAGCUUGCAUUGAUUACGUCCCUGCCCUUUGUACACACCGCCCGUCGCACCUACCGAUCGAAGGUAAUGAUGAGCCCUCAGGAUUGUGGCCUCGUCGCGUCAGCGUCUUGGCUGCGAGAAUCUGUGCAAAUCCCUACCUUUAGAGGAAGGUGAAGUCGUAACA